rnacentral:rRNA from 1 species
UACGUAGGGGGCAAGCGUUGUCCGGAUUUAUUGGGCGUAAAGAGCGUGUAGGCGGCCAGGUAGGUCCGCUGUGAAAACUCGAGGCUUAACCUCGAGAUGUCGGUGGAAACCAUCUGGCUAGAGUCCGGAAGAGGAGAGUGGAAUUCCUGGUGUAGCGGUGAAAUGCGCAGAUAUCAGGAAGAACACCCGUGGCGAAGGCGGCUCUCUGGGACGGGUACUGACGCUGAGACGCGAAAGCGUGGGGAGCGAACAGG